GUCAAAAGUAAAAUGUUGCUCAAAAGCCGAAAGCAAUACUAAUAGUUUAGUCUUAUGGGAAAUCACUUUGCAUACAUAUACCAUACAGUCCGGGACGUUUUUGACAUCCACUGUAUGCAUGAUAAAUUUGAAGAAGAAAUGGAAAUCGACUAACCCAAAUAUUGUACAUUCACUCGAGACUCAAGUGAGCCAAAAAUGAGCCACUGGGGAGACGAGGCACGACAACUAAAACGCUAGAAAAGACUUAAAGACUGAAGACCGAAGACUGAGGACUGAGGACUGAGGACAGAAGACGGGGAGCGGCAGGUGCAGAUGCCAGAAACAAUAAAAUGUUCACUUCUAUUCGGCGGCAGCCAAUUUGCAUUCGAUGUGACUUCGUCAUAGCAUAAUUGGAAUUCAAAAUUGACGUGGGUUGGGUUGUUGGCGUUCUGGCCCGCAACCAAAAAUUGGAAACAAUGACGAAACCGCAAAUGCAGCGAAGGAGGUGUACAGUGAAGCCAUUGUAAAUUGAAUUGAAUUGGUUUCUGAUUUGAUUUAUUUCCACAGAACAAAUUUGCAACAAAAGGAUUUCGUAUUUUUGAUUUCCCAAAUAUUUAAACAGAAACCGUUUAAAAAAGGUAUAGAAAGAAUAAGAAUAAUUAUCACUAUAGAAAUAAAAAAUAAAUUUAAGAAUCUUUA